ACUCUGCAGAGCUCCUAACCUAAUUGGUCUCUCCUAACUUGGGAAGAUGGGGCAGGAAGGCAACGCUCUGAGCCAAUCCAGAGGGGCGAGCAAAGCACCCGUCCUGAAGGCCUAGAGGGUGCCCCCUGUGCCCCGCGGCUCCCCAGCACCUGCUUCUCGUUUCACAUCUUCAAGGUGAGGUAUAAAUUCUCUACCAAAAAGAACCAGGAAUGUUUGGAGAAAUGGCUGAUUCCAGAUUUGGACGAGGGAAAUACAGAUGUACAUCUAGCUUGCCAAAAGUGAGUGCCUGGUAUAAUCACCCUGGACAACUAUUUGGCAGCAGCUACUAAAGUGGAACAUUUUAUGACCUAGCAAUUCUACUCCUAAGUGUAUACCUAGCAGAGACGUGUCUGUGUGCU
rnacentral:lncRNA from 10 species